AGUGAACGCUGGCGGUAGGCCUAACACAUGCAAGUCGAACGGCAGCACAGUAAGAGCUUGCUCUUACGGGUGGCGAGUGGCGGACGGGUGAGGAAUACAUCGGAAUCUACUUUUUCGUGGGGGAUAACGUAGGGAAACUUACGCUAAUACCGCAUACGUCCUACGGGUGAAAGCAGGGGAUCUUCGGACCUUGCGCGAUUGAAUGAGCCGAUGUCGGAUUAGCUAGUUGGCGGGGUAAAGGCCCACCAAGGCGACGAUCCGUAGCUGGUCUGAGAGGAUGAGCAGCCACACUGUAACUGAGACACGGUCCAGACUCCGACGGGAGGCAGCAGUGGGGAAUAUUGGACAAUGGGCGCAAGCCUGAUCCAGCCAUACCGCGUGGGUGAAGAAGGCCUUCGGGUUGUAAAGCCCUUUUGUUGGGAAAGAAAAGCAGCAGGUUAAUACCCCGCUGUUCUGACGGUACCCAAAGAAUAAGCAUCGGCUAACUUCGUG
rnacentral:rRNA from 1 species